UGCAGGGAUAAUCAAAGGUCACGAAGACCGAAGACACGAAGUCACGAACAGAAUUCACAGGUCCUUGAGUCCUUCGCUGAUUUGCUGCAUCUCGCACAUCGUAGGAGGAUUACAAUCGAAGUCACAAAACUCACGAACUCACAAAGAUUCGCAGAAGGAUUAUUGGAUUAACUCACAGAUUCCGGCAUUCCGCAUUCGGCAAUCGGCUCCGGCUGUCCGCCUCCUCUCAUCGGCCAUCGCAGAUUUGCAGGAGUGAUGACGAAACCAAAAUUCAAAAAACAAGCUUUAAUUGGGAACUUUUUCUAAACUGAGUGGGCUGAACGCUGAAGUCGCUGAACAACAAGGAUACCAAGUCGCUGAACACGGGCUGAAGGUGUCGCUGAUGAUCAUUGAUCGCUGCUGAUUGCUGAAACAGUUCAGAACAAUAAUCAUCGAACAGGCUGAAGUCGCUACUGUUGUGCUGAUUGUGAGUUGUGAGUAUUCUUUAUUUCUUUUCUUCUUGAGUUCUUGAAUUGUUUAAUUUCGAUCUAAAAAUUAAAAAUAAACCAAGCCUAGUCUAAAAUCUAAAAACUUAUUGCCAAUAUUAAUUCAUAAAGCCUAGCCCAAAUGUGAUAUGCUCAAUAUUGAUUCGUUAACCUAAAUACUAAUAACUUAAAAAAAAAAACUAGUUUAUAAAAUUUAAUUCGGCAAGGCCUAAGGGCCUUUUUUUGGCUCACACAGGGCACUUGAAUUUUCAGGAUCGGCCGUGCCCCGUAAUGUAGCUAAAAAAAUUAUGUUCUAUAAAUGUAUCGUAAAAAAAUUUGGGAUACCCCUGAAUAUUUCUUCUAGUUGCGCCACUGAUCACACAUAUAUCAUAUCUAAAUCUCAUUAUUUUGUGCAACAAUUAUUUUGAUGGGACGUAACCUAUCUUGGAUUAAUGUUGUUUUACCUGCGGAGCGGUCAUGAGGGAUAAAAAUGGACAUUGGAAAGCACGGUGGGGAUCAUGGAAAAUAAUCGCGAAAAGAUAUUUUGAUUGGAAAUGCAGAAAAGUUAGAAAUUUGGACUAAGGAUAAAGAUUUAUUUGAAUUAUUGGAUUAAAUAUGAAAAAAAAACGUAUGAAUAAUGAAUCCGUUUUUUUUUUUUUUUUUCAUUUGAUAAAGGGAAAAAAUAGGAUCCAUCUUUUUCUUUUUUUUGCCUUUUGACGUCGACGGCUGGGAAAGAAGAAGAAAAAGAAACUUUAAUUUUCUUUUUAGUGAUUUUUUUAUUAAGAUCACGAUUCACGUUUUGUUUUCUUAAGUUUUUGAUUUAACUUUUGUUUAUUUUUUAUUUGGUUUGAUCGGUUAACGUGUGUGAAAUUUUGAUGAGAUCCAAAAUUUGAAGGGUUUGUUUGUUUGAUUGCUUGGUCUUAAAUCCUGAAUACUUUUCCGGAAACAUGUCAAAUUGUUGAUAGAAUUUGUUACUUUGUUAAUUUUUCUAAUACAGUUCUACAAUCUAUAAAACCUUAAUUUUUUCAAUAAACUUAUUUUGCUUAGUUGAAACGUGUUAUGAAUUUACAUUGAGAUAGAUAGUAAACGGGCAACAAGCUGCACUGUUACCCCUUUUGAAUAGCAAAACUAAAUCUUUAAAAACUACAUCCAUAAAUCUCGGGAUCAUAACAUUACUAUGCAUGACCCUUUGAACUCGACUGAGUAGGUCCACAGCCUCUGGCGCCAGGAAACCAAAAGUAUCAAAAACAAAUGGAAUAAACAUGUGCUGGUUGUCAACACUUUCUCGUGUUUGGUCACUUUACCCAAAGCAGUCUGACCCACCGUGAAAGCACUACCCCCUAAGCCAGCGGGGAAACCCCUGUUAGAUCCACAUAUGCAUGUUUUCCUCCUACCCAUCCAAAGACUAGAAUGUCGGCUGGUCGAAGGGUAGAUCUCCUGACCCACCGUGAAAGCACUACCCCCUAAGCCCAAAAGCGGGGAAACCCCUGUUAGAUCCACACAUGCAUGUUUUCCUCCUACCCAUCCAAACAUCCACACAUGCAUGUUUUCUUCCACACAUGCAUGUUUUCCUCCUACCCCCUAAUUAAAGACUCACAUCGUUCGAUUUUUUAACAAGAUCCUGUGAGUCUAUAACAAGAUUAAAUUCGUAGACAAACGCAAACUGUUAUUUGGUUAGACAACUAGAUGGAGUGGAUGUCAGAACACGUAGAUGUCUAGUAUCGAUACAAAUCGUUUAAGUUGAGAAUCAUUGCACAAUAAGGGAUAUAACCUUUGUGUUUAAAUUGCUUUUUGACAUUUGAAUUUCUCCUUUACGUUUUAAAAAAAAUGCUAGCAAUUGUUCAUAAUCAAACACUGUUGGAUCUGAGAGUGUGUGUAGUGUGUGUUUUUGAUAGAACUGUUGAACAAAUAUAGGAAUUCAAUCAAACAGUUAUAAUAAACACAUCAAUCUAACACAACUAGAUUUGGGAAUGACUGCAAAAUGAUUUCAUAUUUGAAUUCAUCAAAUGUAAUACAAUCACAUGACAAGUUACAAUGUACUCAUCCUCACAAGGUACACUUUUUCUCUCACUAAGUUCUUAUUCUCUAGGCUCUUAGUGUUUUAUUGUUACACUGAAUAUAAAGAACUAUAUAUAAGAGAAGAGAAUUGCUGGUGACGCACAAUGAGAUUGGCCAUUUAACAACUCAUUAAAUAAUGUAAUUGCUAGCAUUUAGUAAAAAUGUUGGAUAGUUACACUAUUACAUUGAACUAUUGCUUCUAGUGUGAAUAAGAGAAAACAACUGGAUUCUCUAGAAUUGCUGGUGUGGACCAACACUUCUAAGAGUCCAAAACUUCUGGUCUUUGACUUGUUGACUUGAUUUUCUAGUCUUUAAUCUUUGACUUUGAAUGACUUGAUCUUGACUUGUUGACCAGUAUUUUGAUAAUCCAGCACUUUGUUCUUCUUUUCUCUAUACUUGAAGGCAACAAUUAUAUGUAUCAAUAGUGUGGGCAGUUGUUUUAGGAAGCCUUCAAGGGGGAAAACUACUAGAAUAGUGAUUGUGUCUUAACUUAUUUAUGUUUAACACAACUAAAAUUUCCUCUGUUGCCAAAAUUUCUAAACAAGAAAGUAUUGACUGGCUCAAAAAGAAUGUGCCUUACCCAUCCAAGAAUUUUUAUAUUUUCCAAAACUGGGAUGCCCAAACCUACUGGCAGAGGUUGCAAGGGUGAAGAAAAUGUUGGUUGAUCCAAGCAUCAAGGUCACCCCUUCAAAUCAGAAGGUUGGUAGUAACAGAAAACCAACUCUAGAAGAGGAUGCAAGGACCUUCAAGAUGAAGCAGGAGUUCAUACAUGUCAACUAGGCUCCAAAAAAGCUCAAGUACCUGGUGGAAGGAAACUACUGUUUCAAAAGAAUACAUAGAUUAUCUCACUUCAAGAAAGAGAAAUCUAGAAAAAUUUCCUCCACCAUUGACUUGGGAGAAUACAAAGAUCUACCUUGCUCAAAAGAAGAAAGAGACAACUAUUGUUCCAUUCAAACCCUAACAGAUCUUCUCAUACAAUCUAAGAAUCAUGAAAAACUACAUGAACAAUAUUAAAGAAAAGCAUGGUUAUGCCAAAUUGAUUGUUGAUUUAGAUAAAUAAGAGAAAAUUCUACUUGUAAGUUGCAUGCCUGAUACUACACAUGUUUUUCACAACAAAUCAAGACAAAGUUGUAGGCACUUACACAGUUACUUUGGAGGAUUCUCGAAAAGAAGGUCCACAUGAUUUACCACAUCAAUUAGUGGCACAUCAAGGGGAACAUUGCCUUCCAGGCUAGAUUCACCUCCACCCACUGAAGUCUUAGAUUUGCCUCUAAUCCUCCCUAACCAAAGGAUUGUGAGAUGGAAAGCUAUGAAGGACUCAAAUGAUGUGGAAAUAUUUAAAGAAGAUGGCUCUAGAAUCCAGAUGGCUGGGUAUGAAGUCCAAAAUCUUAGCCUAGAUGACAUCAAAGUCAUUGGUGAUCUGGAAAUGGAAAAAGAUGAAAAUGAUGUUCAAGUUCUAAAUCUAGAAUUUGGCAUCAAAGGAAUGAUCAAGGAAAGACUAAUGGGCAUCAUCAAAUAAGAGAAUAAAAGACAGGCCAGAAUAAGUGUGAUUUGGCAUCCACAGAUCUAAGGGGAGAUUGUUGGGUUAUAUAAGAUCUGUCUUUUGGAAUAACUUGAAGUGUAUUCAAGGUACUAGAAGUUUCCCCUUGAAAGCUUUCCAAACAACCAAAAAAACUGUUGAUACAAGAACUACUGGAUCAAACAUCAGGCAGACAAAGUACAAAGUGCUGGAAUGUUAAAGUGUUGGAUCAACUAGUCAACAUCCAAGUCAACUAGUCAAAGCUGAAAACUAGAAGACCAAGUCAACAAAAGAUCAGAAGUACUGGAUUCCAUACGUGCUGGAAUCCUUCUAGUAGUUUUGGAAUUCUAGUUGUUUUCCCUUUGUUAUACAAUAGUUUAAUGUAACAAUUGUUUUUCUUAAUUUUCCUACAGUUUUGCAAGCUGUUGGCAGUUACAUCAUUUAUUAGGUUGUUUAGGGUCGCUUUCAUGGUGACAUCACCGAUUGUUCUCUCAUCUUAUAUAUAGUUCUUCUCACAUUGUACUAGGUAACACUUAGAGCCAAAAAGACAGAAGAACUAAGUGAGAGAGUGCACCUGGUAAGGGGAUGUCAUUUAUACCUUUUAAUUGUACUGAAAACAUAUUGAUUAUAUGAAAUCUUUUAACAAUCAUUCCCAAAACCAAUUAUGUUUAUGAUGAUGUGUUUACUAUCACUGUUUGAUUGAAUUCUAUAAUUUAUUCAACUGUUUUUAUCAAACACACACUCUCAGAUCCAACAGGCUUUGUGUUACUUAUGUGAGUUUUCCGACCAACGUCAUCAACUAUUUAUUUGUAGUGUUAAUGUAUGUUGUUUCGUCUACUUCGAUUUUGUGUUUACGUCUUUUUGACUUUUGGUCUGGUAGCUAUGUUUGUUACUGUAGGAUUUUGCUUUACGAUAUGGCUAUUGUUACGUUCGUCUAUUAGGAAGACGUAUUUUAGGUUUCUUACAUUCGGCUGAUGUUUUGGGUUUACCGAUUUCUUUUGACGGUUCAUAUCUGAUGUUGACCGUGAUGAUGUUUUGGUGGGUUAUAUGUGUUUUAACGUGCAAUCAUAUAGUUGAAUUAUUAAAAAAUGUUAGAUUUUAUGGUCUUGAUGUUUGUACAUUGAUAUCUACUAUUUAGUUAGUUUUGAUAGUUCGUAUCCGAUGUUGACUUUCAUGAUGUUUUGGUUGAUUUUAUGUAUUUUGAUGUGCGAUUACAUAGUUGCAUGUGUUUAGUAGUUGUCGGGUUUUGUGGUUUUGAUGUUGCUUUGACAAUGUUGAUUAUUGUUUGCUUUACAGACACUUUUUGGACUAUGUAUUGAACGACAUUCGGUCGGUGAGGUUGGCUUUUAAGCCGUCUAAAAUUGUUUACAUUCUUUCAUUGGGUUUGUGAUGCUUUGCUGAGACGAUGGUUGCUUGUAACCUGUGAGUUAUUGGUUAUUCGGUUGGUGAGGACGAGGUGGUUGUUGUACGAGAAUGCUUACUUUGAGUUUUUGUGUCUGUGAAGCUAUGUUAAGACACAGUUGUGUUGUGUUGAUUUUACUUGGUUUGGGUGUUUGUUUGUGUUGCUUUUUGGUCUGUACAUUUUGGGUCCAUAGGGGGUUUAAAAAAUUGUUCGACGUUAUUUGACUAUUGUAUAAGUUUUCCUAAUGACGAGGCUGUGAUGAUGAUCCGUUGUAGUAAUUGGACUUUGUAGAUCAUAUCUAUAUCUUGGUUGGGCAAUGUAGAUGGCAAUUGGAUUGUUUUGAGAGUUUCUCUACACCUUUUUCAACUGCUAUUGCGGCCAUGGUAAAUAUGGAAGAAGGCGAAUCCCAUUACUAUAAUUUUGAGCCUUUGUUCAUGUUAUUAGUUUGACCGAUUUCAUUUUGCUUUUGAUUGGGUUGACAAAUUUCUUUUGGGGGUUCAUCAUAUGUAUGCCAACUGUCGUCAGUGGAUGUUUGUAAGUACUCUUUUGAUUAGUUUUUGAUUUAUUUGGUCGAUGAUGGUAAGCGCAACCUUAUGUCAGACUUUUGUUUGCUGCGUUUCUUUCUAUUGCGUUGGUUGGUUUACAUUACUUUUUUUUCUUCUUGAUUUGUAUGUCAAUUUCUACAACCUGGGUUUGUAAGGGCUUAUGUUACGUUAAUGCUUUAAGCUUACAUUUUAUUAGUUUAACUUUUUAUGACUGUGUUUUGUGACAUGAUAUUAAUUACCAAAUUUGACACUAACACAAUGGAUAAAUACAUUGCCAAGUAUUUCAAGAGUGGUUGUCAACGUGUUGCUACAUAUAGGUAUGAUAUCGUUCUGCUUAAAAUAAAGCAUUCUUAGUUAAGCUUUUUACUUCACAUGGUUGAUAAGGUUAUUGUUUUUUGUUGCACUUAUACCGAUGUCUAAGCUACCCCUUUCUUUGCCUUUUACACAAUAGGUUGUUACACCUUAUGUAGAAGUUUCUUUCUUUCGUUCUUGACUGCCGACUUGAGUAUGUAUUUCAGAUUUAGACGUGUAUCGUGGAUGCAUGGGCCAGAGUUGAUGGUAUGCCUACUUACUAUUACUUUGUUUGUUAUAGUGUUGUAAGAAUCGCUAGGCGCUAGUCCAUCGGUGGGGUAUUGACUAGCGAUUAAUCGGGAUUAGUAGGGAUUGAUCGAAAUUAAUCGGAUUGAGAUUUUUAUAUGUAAUUUUUAGUUUAAUAUGUGCACAAACAUUUAUAUAUGUUGUUUUUUAAAGUAGACAUGUUUUAACUCCUCAUUGACUCAUAUUUUCAAGUAAUUGACGGGAAUUUAUAAGAUUUGGUCAAAUAUUAGUCAGGAUCUAGCCAAAAUUUGGCCAGAAUAGGACCGCUAUUGACCGCCUAGCGAUGAUCAAAGACUAAUCGAAGAUUAAUCGGUGAACCUUGGAUUAGUGAUUAAUUGGCGACUAAUCGAAGACUAGCCGGUAAUUUUACAACCAUGGUUGUAUAUCUUUGGUUAUUUUAACAGGUAAAUAAUUAUUCCUUUUUUAGGUCAACAGACACACAAUUCCAAGACAACCUUAAGGUAUAGGUAUGAGGCUGCUUUUUUAAGGGAUUACCGAUAGUGUCCAAUGAUCAAUGCUUCUGAUCCAUUAAGGCUGGGAAAGACUCUUUAAUGGCUCAUAAGGCUUUAGACAAUUUAGUUAUAACAAACUCAGUAUACGCUUCAUCUUGCUAAUAUGUGAUGGAUGAUAUAUUGGAUUCGCACGAUUAUAUUGCUACUAGUGAUAUAACCCAACAGGUAUAGAUUGGAAGAAACACAAUAGCAUGAUUAACCUACAAUGCAUAGUCAGGUGAAAAUACGAUAGCAUCACUAACCCAAGACAAGAUUCGCAUUUUAUGACUUCAAGUGGAAUAUAGUGCAAGGAAACACGGAAGUUUCACUAACACACAAUGCAGGGUCAAGUGAAAACGCGCUAGCAUCAAUAACUCAAAACAAGAUUCACAUUUUUCAACUUCAAGUGGAAGUCAAAGAUAAUAUGUUGUAUCUGGAAAUAGUAUUUUUAUGUUACACAAAAAAUCGAUUGGUUUGCUUAUUUUUGUAAAGCUAUUGCGCUUAUGGUUAUAAUAGGAUUUUCUU